AUGCUGCUGCGGCGAGGAAGGCUUACAUGGUUUUUAACUGAGAGACUUCUGUUGUCUGCCAGGGGCUGGGGCUGGAGGCAAACAUUUCCCUGCAUCUACUCCUGCAGGGAUAUGAGUGGCAGGGGGGACUCUUUAGGAAGAGGGCUUUGCUGCCCCUAUUCUCUGCCCCCUGAGUGCCAGACCAAUCCUCAUGGGCACCCACAGGGUACCAAAACCGGCUGGUCACUCUUGAAGGAGCGGUGGCCCUUCCCAGAAGAAACUCUGCCCACCCUCCCGAGAGCCAAGUCCACCACCCCUACCUGGCAGGCCCGGCACAGCCAACGGCCUGGGCGUGGGGGCAGGGCCCAGGCAUCAGAAGCGAUGCCGAGGCUGGGGGCCAAAGUGCAUGGGCAGGUUGUGCUCCAGGGGCACGUGGACGGGGGCAAAUUCGUAGUUGACGCGCAUAUUGGGCAGGGGUGGCACGUAGGGUGCCGGGAUGGGGCCCAUGUUGAGGGGGAAGUUGUUGAACACGGGCCGGACGGGCGGCAGGGGGAAGGGCGGGUGCACGAAGGCGUAGGGGGGUAUCUGCGGCUGGUGCAGGUUCUGGGGCACGGGCCUUGGCAGGGCCUCGGUCCUCUGCACUUUCUCAGGGGGCUUCUCCAAGGGGGGCCCGAUGCGUUUGAAGGUGUUCUCUGAAAAGGAGGCGGGAUUUAGUUGAGAGAAGUGUUAACCCCACUGUGUGCAGACCUGCUGGGGACCCAGCAGAACUGCUAGAGGUCAGGCCAGGCACCGGCGACCUGACUUCUUCCUGGUGGACACAGGAGGGAUGGCCAGGCCAGACUGAGGCCAAGUGAAGUCCCCAAAGCAGCAUGCAUGGACGGGUGCAGGCCCACCCCCCUCAGCAGCCACCAAGGACAAAAGUACACGUCCCCGCGAGCAUCACAGCCCAGAGGGGUCUCCUUAGGGGAAGGCAGCUCAGAUCAGCUCAGAAUGGGUGGAGCGUGUGUGGGAGCAUCUCUUAGAGCCAGGGCCUGGGUGGCCGCUGACAGGAGCUCCAUCGCCUUCCUCCAACCUCAGAGAGGCCUCCUGUCUUUUUCAGUUGGCUGUGGCUCCUGUUUGCUUCCUGAGUUCAAUCUUACCAGCUGGGACCUACCUUCCUGCCUUCACGGAGCUGCUAACACUGCCUCUAAACUCUCGGGACCUUUCCCAGGGGGAGCUGGACUUGUGGGUGGGGUAGACUGGGGCCUGCCUGAGGGACAGCCCUCCCUGGGGGUCCCUCGAGGGUAGGGGGCUGGGAUUCCCACAGAGGCAAGCAGUGGGCAUCCUUUCCUCCCCGUGGAUACGAACUGCCUGGGCGCAGGGCCUGUUCUGGGGAGAACUUGCCUCCAUUCUUUCUUUUCUGUUCCUCUUCAGCCUCCUUCUGGAUUUCCUCAAUUAGCUUCUCGUCAUCUUCCUAGAAGAAAAGCAACUGAUGACAAGUUUGCUCUCAGCCAGCUCCACGUGGGGCUCAGGCCCUGCUGGGACAUGCGGGAAUCCGUGGGUCUGCACACUCCUCCUUUCCAGGUCUCCAAGAACCUUCUGGAACCAGAUGGUGUUCCUGUGAGGCUGGGACAGAGAGCGGGCCUGUGCAGGGCGGGUGGCUGUCUAGGGGCCAGGUUGAGAGCCUGCUCCAUUCACUCAGCUUAGGGUUAAGAACUUCCCAGCAGAGGGCUACCCAAGGGCUUGGGAUGGGCUGAGUCUAGAGUGGGCAGGGCCCAAGGAGCUUUAGAUCUUGAGACUACAAGCUCUGAGCACAGAAACCCUUCUGCGUAGAGCCUGCAAGUCUUGCCGACUCCCUGAAAUGGGCUGGACAGUUCACCGGCCUGCUGACCCUGAAGUUGGCGCUCAGCUCCUACUCAGCGGUGGGUGACAGAUGGAGCAACACCCUGCCCACGGAGCACUGGCGGGGCCACGAGGAAAGCACUGCAGUUUAGGAGCAACUCCCCGACAGACUCACGCUCGGGAGACCUGCUUCGCUAAGGGGCGACUCGGCUAUGGAUGGUCCCAGCCUGGGCACAUGAGUUGAAGAGAGCUCUGGGCACAGGCAGACAUGUGGGCUUCACCAGGGACACUUCGGGGUCCCUGCCAUGUACAGUUCCCCCACCUCCACCUGGCCCAAGCCUGUCCUGUGCAACGUGCUAGGGUUCAACCCACCCCUCAGCGGCCCUGCAGCAAGGCUGGGGGCUGAGAGGACACUCACUGGACUGAAGACCCAUCAAUACAGCGCACGUCUUUGCUGCCAGCCACAGGGCUGCUGCUGCACUGGCACGGCCACGGAGGGUGUAGGACUCAAGCCCACCCUGGGAACUGGGGCUGGACGAGGAGCAGAGUGUACGCUGCAGUCACAAGCUGACCCAUCUGUCUCCUGGGGUCCAGCAGCAGCCUCUCCAGGAGUCCAGGGCAGUCAGGCUGGGCAGGAGUAAGAAGGGCAGGGGUGCCCAAUAUGGGGGCGGGGAAGUCUGCUGGACUCGAGUGCUGCCCCAGACGAGGCACGAGGCAAGGCCUGGUGUGGUCUGGGCUGGAAAACUGUCAGUGAUAACUGGAUUUUUCAUGCCUACUGGAUGCUGUCUGGCUGACAUCACCUGUGGAACUCUGGGGACGUGAAUGGAGGGGAUGUGAAGAACAUGUGGAACCCUUGGACUAGAGGAGAGCUUGGCAGUCUGAACCCUUGGACUAGAGGAGAGCUUGGCAGUCUCAGCAUGGAGCCGGGCCGUGGGCAGUAGUUACUAAGGUCACAGCCAAGAUGGUCACCUGUGACUUCAGACAGUGCCGGCCCUGCCAUGACCCUGGAGUCAUAUGGGUCCCUCGCUCGGGGUGCACUGGACACCUACUCCACAAAAGUCCUAAGACAUGGUCACCCAGCCUCUUUGUGAACACCCCCGGUGAGGAACCUUACUGCCCUGGAGCAACCGCUCAGCCAAUCACCACACAGAACUCCAGUAACACAGCAGGUGUUGGCGGAUGCAGAUUGCAGGCCUCCAUGCGAGGGUCAAGGUAAGGAGCUGGCCAACACCUGCAUUUUGCUGCCAGUGGCCAGCCUAGGAAGAAAGGUUAAGAAAAGAGUGAUCUAGAAGAACGGAGCUGCUGCCCCGCCCCGCCCCGCCCCGCGAGACUUGGGCCAGCACACUGCUGAGCACCCGAGUCUCUGCAUCUCUUCUGUGAAACGGGCUGCUGUAAGGAUUGCACGGGCUCAGUGUGCAAAAGACCCAGCACAGCGCAAGCACGCCUCACAAACGGGACGAAGGCUGGCCAAAACGCCAGGGAUAAAGAUUUCAGAAAGAUGGAAAGUUUCAGAAAACCCCCAAAGAGCUACUUAGAUGGUUCCCUGUCCCUGACGUCUCACUUGAAAACGUGGUGGGUGUAGGAAUUCUUUCAGUCAGGAGUGUGUACUGAGCGAGCUGGAUGCACAGCUCAGAAUCAGGAGACCUGGCCCCUUCCCCAGGGAGCGUAUAUAGUUGUGCUGCAAACAGUUCCAGCUGGCAUUCCUAUGGUGUUCUCCGUGGGCUUACAGAGGACUGUCACAGCACUGAGGACUGACCCUGGACCCCUGCCCCCUCCUCCUCCUGAGUCUCGUCUGUCAGGAUGAAGAAUGAAGGGUGAGGGGGUGCUCUGUGAGUAGGGUCUCCAGGUCUCGCGCAGCACUGUAAAUGGGACGGACGAGCAGGGCACCUGCCACAUUUUUCUCAACACCAAGUUUCCUGUGAUAAAUCCUAAUACUCCUGGUAAAAGUUCGCCCCUGAAUAAAUAGGUAGGUCGGAGGCACUUGCACAGCAAGUGUGAGCCAAGCUUCCUGAGCCGGGUCUGCCAGCUCCGGACCACAGAGUGGCCUAGGCCCCGCACUGGCCCAGACUGCUGGGCCAGCACCGAGCCCCUCCGUCUGGCUCUCCCUGGUUAGGCAGUGCUCUUCAGAGUCUAAAUACAGUCUGCAUUUCACCAGAAUAUGUCAGCACUCAGCUAUUUUGAGUAGUGAUUGUUACCCUAAAUAUUGAGUAAACUGUCAGUUAUACCUAGAAUAUGGGUUAGGCGUCUCAGAUUUCAACUUUCUCCAACUGGUUGGAAUCACAGGGCACUAUGUCUAGAAACUAAGAACUCAAACACUUUUUAGUAUUUUUUUUUUUUUUAAGGAAAAAAUUACGUUUUCAGCCAAGUAUAUUAGAUUCUAAGGGUGAAGAUUUUUUACUUCAUCUGGGGUAGAAUUCCCUUCCACAAGCAGUUUCCUUUGAGCCCUUUAAAUUCCUCAAGAGUGAAGGCAGGCUGAAUUGUACACUUUAAAAAUGCACUUUAUACAUAUUUUACCACAACUUAAAAAAUGAAUAAUGUAAAGAGAGAAGGCAGCUUCAGGGCUGAAUCCGAGAUAACACGUGAAGACCGGCCCUCGUCAGAACACUCCAGGGUUGGGUAAGCAGCACGUGAGGCUGCUAAGGCUUUUCUAGAGGCGAGCUCCCUUGGGAAACACUCAAGGUGCUCCAAGUGUCACCAUUCAGUGGUCAAGGACACUGGUGAAGAAGGCUUGACAUUCUGCAAAGCUGGGACACACCUAGGCUGCUGGAAAUUGGGAACAAUGGGAGGAAAAAAGAUGCUGAGAGGGCUGGGGGUGCGUGCGUGGGCUGGAUCACAGAAUGAACUGCCCUCCAGCCCCCUACAGGGGUUGAGUCACUUACAGGAAAUCUGGGUGGGAUGGAAGGCUCCCUCCUCACCCCCUUCCCCCUCCCCCAACUAGGGAAUUUUAUCUUACAACAGCAUUGGCUUCCUAACAGAAAAGUAGCUGGCACGAUGGAAGAACUCUAGCUUCGAGGCUCCACACACCCUGGCCUGAGGACCCCUCUGGUAGACCCAGCACGACCCAGGCGGGGGUCUAAUCAUUUCCAUAGCAGGUUUACUGUGAGAAGUAAAUGACCUCACCUUUAUAAAGUGCCAAGCACAGUGACAUAAGGGCAUUAAUACUUACUGAGCACCUACUAUGUAUCAGCUCCUAUUCUAAGCACAUCAUGAAGAUUUCUUAACAAUGCUAGAAGUUUGGUACUACUGAGUAAUCCCUAUACUACAAACAAGGAAAUUGAGGCACACAGAGGGCAGACACGCUGAAACCACACUCACAGAAAACUAGUCAAUCUAAUCACACUAGGACCACAGCCUUGCCUAACUCAAUGAAACUAAGCCAUGCCCGUGGGGCAACCCAAGACGGGCAGGUCAUGGUGGAGAGGUCUGACAGAAUGUGGUCCACUGGAGAAGGGAAUGGCAAACCACUUCAGUAUUCUUGCCUUGAGAACCUCAUGAACAGUAGGAAAAGGCAAAAUGAUAGGAUACUGAAAGAGGAACUCCCCAGGUCAGUAGGUGCCCAACAGGCUACUGGCAAUCAGUGGAAAAAUAACUCCAG
ensembl:lincRNA